rnacentral:rRNA from 1 species
GCCCAGACUCCUACGGGAGGCAGCAGUCGGGAAUUUUGGGCAAUGGGCGAAAGCCUGACCCAGCAACGCCGCGUGAGGGAUGAAGGCCUUCGGGUCGUAAACCUCUGUCAGGAGGGAAGAAGGCUCCCGGGGUGAACAAUCCCGGGAGAUUGACGGUACCUCCAAAGGAAGCGCCGGCUAACUCCGGUCCAGACUCCUACGGGAGGCAGCAGUGGGGAAUAUUGCACAAUGGGCGAAAGCCUGAUGCAGCGACGCCGCGUGAGUGAUGAAGGCCUUCGGGUUGUAAACCUCUUUUGGCCGGGACGAAGCGAUCAGUGACGGUACCUGCAGAAGAAGCCCCGGCUAACUACG